AGUGAACGCUGGCGGUAGGCCUAACACAUGCAAGUCGAACGGCAGCACAGUAAGAGCUUGCUCUUACGGGUGGCGAGUGGCGGACGGGUGAGGAAUACAUCGGAAUCUACUUUUUCGUGGGGGAUAACGUAGGGAAACUUACGCUAAUACCGCAUACGACCUACGGGUGGAAGCAGGGGAUCUUCGGACCUUGCGCGAUUGAAUGAGCCGAUGUCGGAUUAGCUAGUUGGCGGGGUAAAGGCCCACCAAGGCGACGAUCCGUAGCUGGUCUGAGAGGAUGAUCAGCCACACUGGAACUGAGACACGGUCCAGACUCCUACGGGAGGCAGCAGUGGGGAAUAUUGGACAAUGGGCGCAAGCCUGAUCCAGCCAUACCGCGUGGGUGAAGAGGGCCUUCGGGUUGUAAAGCCCUUUUGUUGGGAAAGAAAAGCAGCAGGUUAAUACCCCGCUGUUCUGACGGUACCCAAAGAAUAAGCACCGGCUAACUUCGUG
rnacentral:rRNA from 1 species